AGCAAAAUGCCCUAGCCUCCACCAAAGAAAGCAAACCCUAGCCUCAACCAAUCUUGUCGCCGUCUGGCGGAGUGAGAGACUGCUGCUGCCGCCUCCGUCACACUCAAGAACUUCCGUCUUCAUGCUAUCGGCGUUCGUUACUUCUCUCUCACCAUCCCCUGUUCGCUCUCAUCAGUCACCUGUUCGCUCUCCAUCCCCUGUUCGCUCUCAUCAGUCGCCUGUUCGCCAUCGUCCGUUGCGCUCAACCGCUCUCCGUCGUCCGUCGCGCUCAACCGCUCUCCGUCGUCCGUCGAAGGUCAAUGUUCA
rnacentral:lncRNA from 1 species